UACGUAGGGUCCGAGCGUUGUCCGGAGUUACUGGGCGUAAAGCGCGCGCAGGCGGCGGUGUAAGCAUGGCGUGAAAGCCCCAGGCUCAACCUGGGAGGGUCGUCGUGGACUGCACCGCUUGAGGGCGGUAGGGGCUGGUGGAAUGCCUGGUGUAGUGGUGAAAUGCGUAGAGAUCAGGCGGAACACCCGUGGCGAAGGCGGCCAGCUGGGCCGUCCCUGACGCUGAGGCGCGAAGGCGUGGGGAGCGAACGGGAUUAG
rnacentral:rRNA from 1 species